GCCCGGAUGGUCUAGAGGUAUGGAGCACAGCUUCUGAAUUAUUCUUGACGUCAACUAACAAACCAACUAUAGGUAUGAUUCCUCGUUCGGGUCGAGGAGGUCCCGCGUUCGAAUCGCGGUUCGGGCC